CACUUAAAAGUGGCAGGCUUUAAGGCUUUCAACUGUGCAUGUUUAUUACGUAGCUUAGAAAGGUUUGGCCACCAACAUAAGCUGUCACAAUAUGUGUAUGCAAUAGAUUUUGUUAGAACAUGACCUAUAUUUGCAAAUAGUCUUAAUCUUAAAAAAGAGAUGUUUUUUCAAAAUGUUUGGUGGACAUAUAAAGCAAUAGAGUGAGAAUAUCUUGUUUCUUGCAGCUCACCCAUCAUCUUCCCAGAAAAACAUCUGCAACCUGCUGAGCCCAAGGCUGUAGGAUCUGAAACCCUUUUCACAGUGUCUGAUUGGUUGAGGGGCUGGAGAGGACGCCUGUGCAGCUCAGAGUUUCUCUGCCUUGUUGAGCAGAGAUUUGGUACUUCCUUCUCUGCAUACUACUGACUGCCUAAGUGAAAGAAUAUAUAUGACAGGGUGGUUACAGAGUCUGCAUCAGCUGAUGAUGAAGAGAAUAGGCCAAUAUUCAGCAAGCCUUCAGGAACUCUUCACGAAGCCAACAAGCGUACAUUGUUUGCAAGUUUCGUUAAAACAUUUAGAGAGGAAUUACUACCUGCUCAUCUUCACAAGCAAGAAAGGAGGGUGA
rnacentral:lncRNA from 1 species